GACGAACGCUGGCGGCGUGCUUAACACAUGCAAGUCGAACGGAAAGGCCCUGCUUUUGUGGGGUGCUCGAGUGGCGAACGGGUGAGUAACACGUGAGUAACCUGCCCUUGACUUUGGGAUAACUUCAGGAAACUGGGGCUAAUACCGGAUAGGAGCUCCUGCUGCAUGGUGGGGGUUGGAAAGUUUCGGCGGUUGGGGAUGGACUCGCGGCUUAUCAGCUUGUUGGUGGGGUAGUGGCUUACCAAGGCUUUGACGGGUAGCCGGCCUGAGAGGGUGACCGGCCACAUUGGGACUGAGAUACGGCCCAGACUCCUACGGGAGGCAGCAGUGGGGAAUAUUGCACAAUGGGCGGAAGCCUGAUGCAGCAACACCGCGUGCGGGAUGACGGCCUUCGGGUUGUAAACCGCUUUCGCCUGUGACGAAGCGUGAGUGACGGUAAUGGGUAAAGAAGCACCGGCUAACUACGUGCCAGCAGCCGCGGUGAUACGUAGGGUGCGAGCGUUGUCCGGAUUUAUUGGGCGUAAAGGGCUCGUAGGUGGUUGAUCGCGUCGGAAGUGUAAUCUUGGGGCUUAACCCUGAGCGUGCUUUCGAUACGGGUUGACUUGAGGAAGGUAGGGGAGAAUGGAAUUCCUGGUGGAGCGGUGGAAUGCGCAGAUAUCAGGAGGAACACCAGUGGCGAAGGCGGUUCUCUGGGCCUUUCCUGACGCUGAGGAGCGAAAGCGUGGGGAGCGAACAGGCUUAGAUACCCUGGUAGUCCACGCUGUAAACGGUGGGUACUAGGUGUGGGGUCCAUUCCACGGGUUCCGUGCCGUAGCUAACGCUUUAAGUACCCCGCCUGGGGAGUACGGCCGCAAGGCUAAAACUCAAAGGAAUUGACGGGGCCCCGCACAAGCGGCGGAGCAUGCGGAUUAAUUCGAUGCAACGCGUAGAACCUUACCUGGGUUUGACAUGGAUCGGGAGUGCUCAGAGAUGGGUGUGCCUCUUUUGGGGUCGGUUCACAGGUGGUGCAUGGCUGUCGUCAGCUCGUGUCGUGAGAUGUUGGGUUAAGUCCCGCAACGAGCGCAACCCUUGUUCACUGUUGCCAGCACGUUAUGGUGGGGACUCAGUGGAGACCGCCGGGGUCAACUCGGAGGAAGGUGGGGAUGACGUCAAGUCAUCAUGCCCCUUAUGUCCAGGGCUUCACGCAUGCUACAAUGGCUGGUACAGAGAGUGGCGAGCCUGUGAGGGUGAGCGAAUCUCGGGAAGCCGGUCUCAGUUCGGAUUGGGGUCUGCAACUCGACCUCAUGAAGUCGGAGUCGCUAGUAAUCGCAGAUCAGCAACGCUGCGGUGAAUACGUUCCCGGGGCU
rnacentral:rRNA from 1 species